CGGGCAUUGGUCUAAUAGGCCUUUGUUUUGACGGUACCUUCAGAGGAAGCACCGGCUAACUCCGUGCCAGCAGCCGCGGUAAUACGGAGGGUGCAAGCGUUAUUCGGAAUUACUGGGCGUAAAGCGCACGUAGGCCGCUUUGUAAGUCAGGGGUGAAAUCCCACGGCUCAACCGUGGAACUGCCCUUGAAACUGCGAAGCUUGAAUCCUGGAGAGGGUGGCGGAAUUCCUGGUGUAGGAGUGAAAUCCGUAAAUAUCAGGAGGAACACCGGUGGCGAAGGCGGCCACCUGGACAGGUAUUGACGCUGAGGUGCGAAAGUGUGGGGAGCAAACAGGAUUAGAUACCCUGGUAGUCCACACCGUAAACGAUGGAUACUAGGUGUCGGGGACUUGAUCUUCGGUGCCGUAGCUAACGCGUUAAGUAUCCCGCCUGGGGAG
rnacentral:rRNA from 1 species